rnacentral:rRNA from 1 species
AAAUUGAAGAGUUUGAUCAUGGCUCAGAUUGAACGCUGGCGGCAGGCCUAACACAUGCAAGUCGAACGGUAACAGAAAGCAGCUUGCUGCUUUGCUGACGAGUGGCGGACGGGUGAGUAAUGUCUGGGAAACUGCCUGAUGGAGGGGGAUAACUACUGGAAACGGUAGCUAAUACCGCAUAACGUCGCAAGACCAAAGAGGGGGACCUUAGGGC